UUUCCCUUGACACUUAAAAAAAAAAAAGUCUUUAUUGCCAGAUUCCAAGUAACCGGUUACUGCUGGGAAUCUCUGUUUAGGGGCUUCAUCUACUGGCAUUUGGAACAAGGCAACUGGUUUCAUUAACCCAGAGUACAGAGGUUCCAAGCGGAUGCAGCCUAAGCUUUUGUACCUGGGUGACAGCGACACAGGAUCAGCGGGACAUUAUGCAUAGGUAUGAUGCUAAUUAGAAAGGCUGCGCUGGACAAAAACGGGGAGGCAGAAAAAGAGAAUGGAGAAGACAAGAGAGAUGCUGCAGGGAUGAGGGCAUGGGAAGGAUGAGGCUGACUUUGGGCAAUUGUAUUUUGUUUUAUAAACCUUGUACUGGGUGUCUGCAAAAAAGGGGUUAGCAUGAUAAAUAUCUCUUGGAACUCUAAAGCACCCUAGAGCCAUUCCCAAGAAUACUGCUACCUAAACAAUGACUCCUCUGCCUCAGAUAGAGAGGCCAGUGAGAACAGAAGCCUGUUUCAUCGCUGUCAGCCAACAACAGUCAAGCUCUUCUCCCGAAAUUCUUCACAUAAUUGAAUUUUCACAUAACACGGUAUAUGGCUAAAAACAGAAAUCAUAUUUGAGAAAGGGGAAAAAAAGAUCUUCAGAGCAUUUAUAUCUGUACAUUUCCUUCUCACCCACCUCCCAUCUUUAAAUUUACCCCGGGAUUUGCAUUGAUUUACAUUUGUAUCGGUGUGAAAUUAAGCCUUUUAAAGUGAACACUCUGUGGCCUCUCCUACAUUCUCAGUGUCGUGCAAUCAGCAUUCCUAUGUGGCUCCAAAAUACAUUCUUAUCAGCAAGGAGGAAACUGUGUACCAUUAAGUUACUCCUUUCUGGAAGCCAACAGUCUGCUUUCUGUCCACAAAGGUUUCCUUAUUUUAUUUGCUUCAUUUGACCUGUGCCCUAUUUUUGUCUGGCCUCUUUGAAUUGGCUGCUGUAUGCAAGACACGCCCACAUCAUAGCAUCUACCAGUACCCACUUCCUUCUGUUGGUGAGUAAUAGUCCAUUGGUUAUGGAUUCAUACAAUGGGGAUUUGAGUUCUUUUUAGGU